UAAGCGAAUAAGCGUACACGGUGGAUGCCUAGGCAAUCAGAGGCGAUGAAGGACGUGCUAAUCUGCGAAAAGCGUCGGUAAGGUGAUAUGAACCGUUACACCCGACGAUAUCCGAAUGGGGAAACCCAGUAUCCAAUGGAUACUAUCAUUAACUGAAUCCAUAGGUUAAUGAGGCGAACCGGGAGAACUGAAACAUCUCAGUACCCCGAGGAAAAGAAAUCAACCGAGAUUCCCCUAGUAGCGGCGAGCGAACGGGGAGCAGCCCAGAGUCUUAAUCAAUAGCAGUGUCAGGAGAACGGUCUGGAAAGUCCGGCAGUAAAGGGUGAUAGCCCCGUAUCUGAAGAUGCUGUUGUUGUGAACUCGACGAGUAGGGCGGGACACGUGUUAUCCUGUCUGAAUAUGGGGGGACCAUCCUCCAAGGCUAAAUACUCCUGAUUGACCGAUAGUGAACCAGUACCGUGAGGGAAAGGCGAAAAGAACCCCGGCGAGGGGAGUGAAAAAGAACCUGAAACCGUGUACGUACAAGCAGUAGGAGCCUCUUUAUGGGGUGACUGCGUACCUUUUGUAUAAUGGGUCAGCGACUUAUAUUCUGUAGCAAGGUUAACCGUAUAGGGGAGCCGUAGGGAAACCGAGUCUUAACUGGGCGAAUGAGUUGCAGGGUAUAGACCCGAAACCCGGUGAUCUAUCCAUGGGCAGGUUGAAGGUUGGGUAACACUAACUGGAGGACCGAACCGACUAAUGUUGAAAAAUUAGCGGAUGACUUGUGGAUGGGGGUGAAAGGCCAAUCAAACCGGGAGAUAGCUGGUUCUCCCCGAAAGCUAUUUAGGUAGCGCCUCGUGAAUUCAUCUUCGGGGGUAGAGCACUGUUUCGACUAGGGGGUCAUCCCGACUUACCAACUCGAUGCAAACUGCGAAUACCGAAGAAUGUUAUCACGGGAGACACACGGCGGGUGCUAACGUCCGUCGUGAAGAGGGAAACAACCCAGACCGCCAGCUAAGGUCCCAAAGUCAUGGUUAAGUGGGAAACGAAGUGGGAAGGCUCAGACAGCCAGGAUGUUGGCUUAGAAGCAGCCAUCAUUUAAAGAAAGCGUAAUAGCUCACUGGUCGAGUCGGCCCGCGCGGAAGAUGUAACGGGGCUAAACCAUGCACCGAAGCUGCGGCAGCGACACAAAGUGUUGUUGGGUAGGGGAGCGUUCUGUAAGCCUGCGAAGGUGUACUGUGAGGUAUGCUGGAGGUAUCAGAAGUGCGAAUGCUGACAUAAGUAACGAUAAUGCGGGUGAAAAACCCGCACGCCGGAAGACCAAGGGUUCCUGUCCAACGUUAAUCGGGGCAGGGUGAGUCGACCCCUAAGGCGAGGCUGAAAAGCGUAGUCGAUGGGAAACGGGUUAAUAUUCCCGUACUGGUGGUAACUGCGAUGGGGGAACGGAGAAGGCUAGGUUGUCCGGGCGACGGUCGUCCCGGUUCAAGCAGGUAGGCAGAGUGAUUAGGCAAAUCCGGUCACUUAAUGCUGAGAUGUGAUGACGAACCACUAAGGUGGUGAAGCAAUUGAUGCCCCGCUUCCAGGAAAAGCCUCUAAGCUUCAGGUUACCAACAAUCGUACCCCAAACCGACACAGGUGGUCAGGUAGAGAAUACUCAGGCGCUUGAGAGAACUCGGGUGAAGGAACUAGGCAAAAUGGUGCCGUAACUUCGGGAGAAGGCACGCUGGCGGUAGGUAAAGUCCCUCGCGGACAGAGCUGAAGCCAGUCGAAGAUACCAGCUGGCUGCAACUGUUUAUUAAAAACACAGCACUGUGCAAACACGAAAGUGGACGUAUACGGUGUGACGCCUGCCCGGUGCUGGAAGGUUAAUUGAUGGGGUCAGCCGCAAGGCGAAGCUCCUGAUCGAAGCCCCAGUAAACGGCGGCCGUAACUAUAACGGUCCUAAGGUAGCGAAAUUCCUUGUCGGGUAAGUUCCGACCUGCACGAAUGGCGUAAUGAUGGCCAGGCUGUCUCCACCCGAGACUCAGUGAAAUUGAACUCGCUGUGAAGAUGCAGUGUACCCGCGGCAAGACGGAAAGACCCCGUGAACCUUUACUAUAGCUUGACACUGAACAUUGAGCCUUGAUGUGUAGGAUAGGUGGGAGGCUUUGAAGUGUGGACGCCAGUCUGCAUGGAGCCAACCUUGAAAUACCACCCUUUAACGUUUGAUGUUCUAACCUAGGCCCAUAAACUGGGUCGGGGACCGUGUCUGGUGGGUAGUUUGACUGGGGCGGUCUCCUCCUAAAGAGUAACGGAGGAGCACGAAGGUUGGCUAAGCAUGGUCGGACAUCAUGCGGUUAGUGCAAAGGCAUAAGCCAGCUUGACUGCGAGAGUGACGGCUCGAGCAGGUACGAAAGUAGGUCUUAGUGAUCCGGUGGUUCUGAAUGGAAGGGCCAUCGCUCAACGGAUAAAAGGUACUCCGGGGAUAACAGGCUGAUACCGCCCAAGAGUUCAUAUCGACGGCGGUGUUUGGCACCUCGAUGUCGGCUCAUCACAUCCUGGGGCUGAAGUAGGUCCCAAGGGUAUGGCUGUUCGCCAUUUAAAGUGGUACGCGAGCUGGGUUUAGAACGUCGUGAGACAGUUCGGUCCCUAUCUGCCGUGGGCGUUGGAAGAUUGAGAGGGGUUGCUCCUAGUACGAGAGGACCGGAGUGAACGCACCACUGGUGUUCGGGUUGUCAUGCCAAUGGCAUUGCCCGGUAGCUAAGUGCGGAAGAGAUAACCGCUGAAAGCAUCUAAGCGGGAAACUUGCCUCGAGAUGAGUCUUCCCUGUCGCUUUAAGCGACCUAAAGGAACGUUUAAGACUAAGACGUUGAUAGGCUGGGUGUGUAAGCGUAGCGAUACGUUGAGCUAACCAGUACUAAUGAACCGUGAGGCUUAACCU
rnacentral:rRNA from 1 species